GGUUCGGGAGUCGUGCGGUGGGACGCACGGCACGAAUUGAACCCCGCCCUCAUUCGCCGCCUUGUGCAGUCCGGGCCCCGACGGCCUGCG
rnacentral:ncRNA from 1 species